AUUGAACGCUGGCGGCAGGCUUAAUACAUGCAAGUCGAGCGGAGAUGAGGUGCUUGCACCUUAUCUUAGCGGCGGACGGGUGAGUAAUGCUUAGGAAUCUGCCUAUUAGUGGGGGACAACAUUCCGAAAGGAAUGCUAAUACCGCAUACGUCCUACGGGAGAAAGCAGGGGAUCUUCGGACCUUGCGCUAAUAGAUGAGCCUAAGUCGGAUUAGCUAGUUGGUGGGGUAAAGGCCUACCAAGGCGACGAUCUGUAGCGGGUCUGAGAGGAUGAUCCGCCACACUGGGACUGAGAAACGGCCCAGACUCCGACGGGAGGCAGCAGUGGGAAAUAUUGGACAAUGGGGGGAACCCUGAUCCAGCCAUGCCGCGUGUGUGAAGAAGGCCUUAUGGUUGUAAAGCACUUUAAGCGAGGAGGAGGCUACUGAGACUAAUACUCUUGGAUAGUGGACGUUACUCGCAGAAUAAGCACCGGCUAACUCUGUGCCAGCCGCCGCCGUAACAC
rnacentral:rRNA from 1 species